rnacentral:sRNA from 1 species
UAUUCUGCCCUACGGGGAAGGAUGAGAAGCGUCGACUAAGGUUCGACUCGAGCGUAGCGAGAGAACGUUGCCGCAGGCAACGGCCCGAAGGGCGAGGCGCUUUAGCGCCGAGUCAUCCUUCCCCCACCACCA